GGUUGUGUGAUGUAGAGGUUUAGCAUUCCAGAUUUUGAUUCUGGCCACCUGGGUUCGACUCCCAGCACGACCA